rnacentral:rRNA from 1 species
ACUGAGUAACAACCGCCGCGGUAAUACGGGGGGAGCAAGCGUUGUUCGGAUUUACUGGGCGUAAAGGGCGCGUNGGCGGCCACCGCAAGUCGACUGUGAAAUCUCCGGGCUUANCUCGGCNAGGUCAGCCGAUACUGCGGNGCUAGAGUGCAGAAGGGGCAACUGGAAUUCUCGGUGUAGCGGNGAAAAUGNGUAGAUAUCGAUGAGGAACACCUG